GAUGAACGCUGGCGGCGUGCCUAAUACAUGCAAGUCGAGCGAACAGACGAGGAGCUUGCUCCUCUGACGUUAGCGGCGGACGGGUGAGUAACACGUGGAUAACCUACCUAUAAGACUGGGAUAACUUCGGGAAACCGGAGCUAAUACCGGAUAAUAUAUUGAACCGCAUGGUUCAAUAGUGAAAGACGGUUUUGCUGUCACUUAUAGAUGGAUCCGCGCCGCAUUAGCUAGUUGGUAAGGUAACGGCUUACCAAGGCAACGAUGCGUAGCCGACCUGAGAGGGUGAUAGGCCACCCGGGAACGGAGACACGGUCCAGACUCCUACGGGAGGCAGCAGUAGGGAAUCGUCCGCAAUGGGCGAAAGCCUGACGGAGCAACGCCGCGUGAGUGAUGAAGGUCUUCGGAGCGUAAAACUCUGUUAUGAGGGAAGAACAAAUGUGUAAGUAACUAUGCACGUCUUGACGGUACCUAAUCAGAAAGCCACGGCUAACUACGUG
rnacentral:rRNA from 1 species